CGCCCGUGAAAUUAAUCAGUGUCUCAUUUCCAGUGCACAAAGACACAUGUGACCUGGCGGAGCAAUCAGCGGCGCCCACACCGGCAAUAUUAAAUACCCCCAUAUUAACCUCAAGCGGUGCAGUUGACAGAUGGAAGCAGCAGGUUUAUUAUCAAGAGAAGUGACGUCACAUCCCCCGUAGUGAACCAGGAAAAGCGGAAUCAUUAUCACCGCAAGCAUGAAAUAAUAUAGCAUACGCGUCAGGCCGCGGUCGCAAAGACGUACAUCGAGGGUGGGCGCCUCCGUUAUUUUUGCACCCCUCCUCCCACACCGCAUUUAUUUCGGCCCUGCUCUCGAGCGUCUAUUUGGCAAAGGCAUAUAGACCACCCCAUUGCCAGGAGAAAACCGCGGCGGACGAGUGCAGCAAUGAGGUCAGCAGAGCUCGAGAGGGGGGUGGAUCGGGGUUGGAGCAGGGCACAUGCGCUUUAGCGCGCGUUCGCCAUCGAUCACCACCGCUCGAGCUGUGAGAAAAGUGAAGCAGGGUGGGCCGCGGCUGCCAUUUACCCCGUGGAGCUCACGGAUAGCAGCAUUGGCCUCAAAGAGAAGCGACGGGUGGCCGGUGCUACGAUGAGGAGAGAGCGACCGAGGUGACCUGAGCGAGCAUGUGCGACGUGCAGAAGAAGUUCCUCUGUCCGCGGCUAGCCGACUACCUUGCCAUCGUGGGAUGUCGGCAGCCGGCGCGAAACAACUCGGGGGGCAUCCAGGCGCCCGAGCUACUGCGCAGGUACCCCGUGGAGGACCACAAGGACUUCCCUCUGCCUCUCGAUAUGGUCUACUUCUGCCAACCUGAGGGUUGCGUUUCCGUCGGGCCACGCAGAACUGCCCUGAGAGAGGCCACCUCCUUUGUGUUCACGCUAACAGAGAAAGACUCUGGAAAAUCGCGUUAUGGCAUAUGCGUCAAUUUCUACCGGCCGAUUGAGCGUGCAGGCGCGCCCGGUUUGGCAGGCAGUGGCCGUGGGGACCGAUCAUCCACUUUCCGCAGGGAAUCGUGGCGCAAGAGCAUGGAAAAAAGCACAGACUCGGCGUUCUCCAGCGACUACAGGAGCACAGUGGCGCCGAGUGACUCUGAUCGCGAGGGUAGUCGGCGUGACUCUGAGCACCAUCCACCACCAAUCCCAGGCCCACCGCGGAUGGGCAGUCUGGCGGCGCCGCCGGUCGCGUGUGACUCAGAGAGCGGUGGUUCGCAUUCGCCGUCGCCGCGGGCCAGCCGGCGGCGUCAGAGGGUGCGCAACCACUCUCUCACCUCGCUGUGCUUGCUGUCGCACCACCCCUUCUUCUCCAAGUUCAGGGAGUGCAUGUUCGUCCUGAAACGCAUCAUCGACGCGUGCAACGACAACAUCUCGCCAAGAAGGGUUGGCUCUAGACAGAUUGCGAGAGAUUCGGUGUGGAGCGUAUUGGCUGGCAACGUGCACGACAACAUCCCCAGCAUCGUGAUGCACGACGUGCGCGAGAUCGAAACAUGGAUCCUGCGACUUCUGAGCGCCCCUGUGCCUGUGCCAGGGAAAACUCGGGUCGAGCUGGACAUAAUGCCUAGCUGCAUGCACGCACCCCUCUGCUUCGCGCUGCCAGACCACACCAGGUUCACCCUAGUCGACUUCCCCCUCCAUCUUCCCCUGGAACUGCUCGGUGUCGAGACUUGCCUCAAAGUUCUUACUCUAAUUUUACUCGAGUAUAAGCUGGUCUUACAAUCAAGGGACUACAACGCCCUAUCAAUGUCAGUGAUGGCCUUCGUGAAUCUGAUCUACCCCCUUGAGUACAUGUUUCCCGUAAUUCCAUUGCUGCCUACUUGCAUGAGCUGCGCUGAACAGCUCCUUCUAGCACCAACACCUUACGUAAUAGGAGUGCCUGCCAGUUUCUUCAUGUACAAAAAGAAUUUCAAUAUCUGCAGGCUACCUGACGACAUUUGGUUGGUAGAUCUGGACUCUAAUAAAAUAUCUCCACCGUCGAACAAUGAUGACCUACCUAAUCUUCCUGAGCCUGAGGGAACAAUUCUUAAAAAUCAUUUAAAACAGGCUAUGCAGCUCAUGGAUCAGGCUGGCGCAUUAAGCAAUAUGACAUCUGGAUUUGGAGAUCCACCACCUAGGGAAACUCCUCCACCACCAGGUGUAAAAUCAAAUUCAGGGGGUGCGUUUAACCCUUUUAUUUAUGGAAGUGACGUGGACAGCGUCGAUGUUGCGACAAGAGUGGCAAUGGUGCGGUUCUUUAACUCUCAAAAUCUGCUGGCCAAUUUCACCGAACACACGCGGACCCUGCGUUUGUACCCUCGGCCGGUGGUUGCCUUCCAGAUUAAUAGCUUUCUGCGAUCACGACCGCGCAACUCGAACUUCUUGAGUCGCUUCGCCCGCACACAAGCGGUCGAAUUUCUUGCCGAGUGGUCGCUCACCCCAAGCAAUGUAGCGUUCCUGCGUGUUCACACGGGGAUUUUUGAUCCGACGCAGAUCGGGGACAAGGCCAAGUGGUUCCACAAUGCGUUGGAGCCUAUCCACUUUGCGGCCUGGGACGAGAACAGUUCUCUCAGAGGCGCCUUGAAAGCUGCUGAGCAGGCGGAGCACGGGCCAAAAACCGACGAGAGUGGCUCAGAUAGCGAAGGUGCCGAGAGCACCAGCUCUUCUUACUCGUCUCUCAGUGACUUCGUGUCGGAAAUGGUCUCCUCUGAUCUGUCACCCAUGGGCCAUCACGAACACACGCCAAUGUCACUGAGCUCAGGACUUGACGCUAAGUCAAUUUAUCACCCACCGUCCUCCCUGCAGCUUCCAGGAGGGAGGGAGCAGGAAUUGCUGGCGGCAGCUGAGGCAGGAGGCCAGGCUGGCUCCUCGCCACCGUCCACCUCGUCCAGUCGGAGUGAUCUCAGCUCACCCAGCUUCAAUCGGGACUCUGAGCUGGAGUUUGCGCCAAGGGUUAAGGAGGUGGAAGGGAUGACGAAAAACGAAGAUCCAAGCCCUGAGGAAUCUGACUCGAACUCCACGACGGCAACGCCAAGGACUGUGGUAGCUGCACACCAAUCACCGCCCCAGAGGCAAUCAAGCUUUACUAGUGUCUUGGCACGAGCGUCGAGUCUGGGUUCAUCAGGUCGACAGGGCAGUCAGACCUCCCUGUUAGAGCAGUUUGCCUCUCAGGCUAAAGAACUGGUCAAGGAAACCACCAGACAGAGCUCGCAGGACGGCCUGCUUGCACAAAUGGAUAAACUAAAAAUGCAAGCUCGUGAAAAAAUGGGAUCCACCGAUUCUGCCGGAAGUCACGAUUCUGGUGAUUUAAGAGAAGUGUUCGCUCCACUAGAGCAGUUCACGCUCAAAGCGAAGAUUGCGGCUGAGGAGGCGGGUAAGAGUGUUCAAGAGGCGAGUAAAUCGGCUAUCGAAGCCAGCAAAAGCGCAGCUGGAAUUAGCAAAAAUACUCUUGGUGACCUGACCUACGUUGGGAAAACUACUCUGGGAGACCUCACGAAAAGUGCCAAAGAGGCUGCGUCAAAGAAAGGAUUGCUCAAGUGUCUGCCGCUACAUCACCAGGGUAUGGUGCCACAACAGCAGCAGUCCCCGCAACCCCCAGAGCAGCACAGUACGUCAUUGGUGGCACCUGAGCUCGGAAGGACAGCUGGCAGGGAUUUCUUCUCCAACCUGAGCAACGAGAUGAAUGGAAUCGCAGCGCAGACAACCAGCAUGUUUUCCAACAUGUUCGAGGGCGGGCGUGGCUCGAAGCGCACUGUAGCAGGCCCUUCCGUAAUUGCCCAAGCAACCGCAAACGUCGUCCAGCAGAGGCCCAAGGAGCCUCCUAGGACGCAGCCUUUCGGUCCAUUUCCGACAGGUCGCAAAGGAUUGGUAGAGAAAUCGUCGCUUAUAAAGCACGCACCACCAAGGAGGGAAGAAAUUCCACGCGGUGAAAGAAACACGACAAACGUGGAAAAUCAGGCUUUCCUUAAAGAUGUCAUAAACCAAGUUCUUGCCGGUGAAGGCGUUGGUUGGCUCAAGCUGAAUAGACUUAAGAAGUUAAUGGAGGACGAAAGCUACCGGAACCUAGUUUUGAGCAAGUUGAACAGGACCCUGGACAGGAAAGUGGGACCAGACGACCACCUUGAUGAUGUCUGUGUCAGUCGAGCAGUUUGGAAAGGAAUGCUGAAAACGAUUUUGGCCGUAGUCCAUGGGUUGGAAGUGACCUACUCGAACUUUGGCUUGGGAGGUAUGGCAUCAGCGUUCCAACUUCUCGAGGUUGCCCACACGCAUUACUGGUCGAGGGACUUCAACGAAAGCGCCAACACGCUUGAGUUGAGCGGUGGAAGCUCGGCCGCAAUGCUCUCAGGCGCGUCAAGUCCUUUCGGGAGCAAAGAAAACCUGAAGUCCCCUCACAGCCCUCAGGGCUCUCCAAUACCGCCUGACCUUCACGACCUGAGCAGAAAGUCAUCGCACUCGGACGUUUCUUGUACACCAAGGAGGCUUUCCCAGGGUCAUGGUGAAGAAGGAGACCAUAGCGCCGCUGAGGUCCUUCGGGAUGUGCUGAACCAAAAGCGGCAAAUCCUCAUGGCUAAAUUGUCAUCCCAAGAUCAAGAUAACCAACAAGUUGAAGACGCCGCAGAAGAGAGCGACGCCGGCAGUAUAAUCACCAACCCCGCUUUCCUACAAAGACAACGACCAGGACAGCAGUCAUUUAGAAGCACAGUCUCUGAUAGCGAGGUUGAACAGACAAAUUUCCCACGCCAGGCUCGUCGCAACCAAAGCGUCUGGUCCAGCAAAUCAUCCCUCAGCUCAGGAUUCAGGUUACCAGGUGCAAAUAUGGGGCAAAACGUGGGCUCACCCAGUCCCGAAUCUGGCCGCACAUAUCUAUACGAAGGACUGCUUGGCAAAGACAGAUCGACAUUGUGGGACCAAAUGCAAUUCUGGGAAGACUCGUUUUUGGACGCAGUCUCUCAAGAGCGGGACAUGGUUGGCAUGGACCAGGGUCCUCGAGAGAUGAUGGAAAGGUAUAGCCACCUGAGCGACACGGAACGAAAACGUCUGGAACAUGAGGAGGAUAGGCUACUUGCCACCCUUUUGUACAACGUCACGGCCAUGAUGGUCAUGGUCAGCGUAACUCGACAGGAGGUUCGCAACAAAGUCCGACGCCUACUUGGAAAGAGCCACAUUGGUUUGGUGUACAGCCAGGAAGUGCACGAGUUGCUCGACAAAAUAGACCAAUUCAAUGGUAACGACAUUGACUUGAGACCUCUCGGCUCGCGGCAAAUGCAUCGCCAGAGUUUCACGGUUCACCUAGGCGUCGACUCGACCGGCAACCUACUCUUCUUAGAGGUACGAGAGGACGGAUUAGUGUUGAGAUCCGUGAACGGGGCUAUUGUCGAAAGGUGGUGGUUUGAAAGGCUAGUCAACAUGACCUACAGCCCCAAGACCAAAGUGCUCUGUCUCUGGAGGAGAAAUGGAGGACAAACGCAACUCCACAAAUACUACACUAAGAAGUGCAAGGAACUGUACUACUGCAUAAAAGACUCAAUGGAAAAGGCGGCCGCGAGAGGAUGCGGGGCCCAGGCAGGAGUCGAGCUAGGUGGAGAGUUCCCAGUGCAGGACAUGAGAACCGGCGAAGGAGGACUGUUGCAGGUCUGCAUGGAGGGAGUUGGACUUCUUUUUGCACAUAGCAAGGAUUUCGAGUUUUUUGUACGACUAGAUCACAUCCGCAAGUGCUUUACUCAAAAGGGAGGAAUUUUUGUCCUCGAAGAAUUCAAUCCAAAAACUCGAAUGGUUUUACAAAGAAGAUACAAGUCUGCCAUGGACGACGCAAUUUUGCUCUCCAUACACCGAGUCUUAUCGGUUCAGAUUGCUCAGACAAUCGAAUGCCGAAGGCCAAGCCAAACCACCGAUUCUCAACGCUAAAAACAUGUGCAUGCUUUGUCCUCUCCGCCUUUGUUUUGUUGUGUUUUGCGUUGAUUUCCACACACGCUGGCUGAUCAAAUUUGCUACGCGGUUCUGUGCGUGUUUUCUUACGUGGCUGCCGGACAGGAGCACCAAAAGAAGCAACAGCAAGCGUCCAAGACGCCUGUGAAACAGUAAAAAAACGGCCUCCAAUCCACCAAAGACUCCUAAGUGAUCGACAAUAUGAAAUCUUUCAUUUCGCCGCGCAGCUCCACGAAAAAUACAAUAAACCCACAGUAAAAAAAUUGGACGUUUUUAACAGUAGAUGAUAUUAAGACAUGCUGUUUUGAAUUGAAGUUUAGAAUUUUGCAAUAUAUCAUUUGUUCCCACUGUCACAUCAGUUGAGGUUGUUACACUGUAGGGAAGCUAAAUCAAAUAAGAUGCAGCAAUUGCAGCAUUAUUUGCUUAAUUUAACAAAACACGAAGACAGAUAUCGUGUGGAGGAAGUCUAAUAAUAAUGUAAAAAUAUAUGAUGCAGGGCAUAAAUGCAGAUGGACACACUGUUAGUAUAAAAAUCAAAGUUAUAUAUCACGCACUCUGGCUAUAUAAAUCCAGGAGGAAUAAAGAAAGAGCGAACAUGCUGUUAUUGUAAAUAAACAACAGAAUGACUAUCUUGAGGCAAACGAA